UAAGCUGACACUAUAAACCCUAAUGAUUCUGAAAGAACAUUGUUAGCUAGUGUGAUGGGGUGUCCACAGGAAGGUCUAUCAGCCUGACAGAGUUAAUCCACAGACAUGGCCAGAAGGAGGUGCUUCACAGAUGAGUAUGGAACCCUAUGGCAAUUUGGUGAGGAACAUGUGCAAGUGAUUACCCCUGAUAAAGGGGAGUGUUAGAGGCUGUGGUGGACUGUGAAGGACUGUAUAAGGCAGUCACCCUGGCACAAGGGGAGUGUGGAAAGCCAUAGCUGAAAGAAAAAAAAAGAAAGGGAAAGAGACAAUUGAGCCACAGUAUAUGGAAGCCUUUUUUGCAGAGGGUACUUGUAUCCUCACAGGCUAGACUCCAGAGUCACUACCCUGGGGAAGGGAGCUAACAAACAGCAGGGAAGGAUCCAGGCCCAACUGAGGCAGGUGCUGGAGAACCAGCAGGGACAGUGGGAGUCAUAUUUGUACCCGUAAACCUAUUUGACAUUGCUGGCUGAACAACUGCUGUAUUUAUUUGAAUUCAUGCACGAAGAAAUUAGCACCUGUUGCUGAGAUUAAGAGUGGAAAGGAGGUACCCGGGGCGGGAGGCCAGAGACCUGGCCAAGGGAGUGAUAUGCCUGCAUAUCUAAAAAGAGAGUGCUCCUACCUGUAUGGGGACAAGAAGCCUUACCCAGAAGGCAGGAAAACAAGAAAGCUCAAAAGAGUCCAACCUGUGGGGAGAACUAAAAAGGGAGGCGAGUGUUUGCCUGUGGUCGGCAACAGUACACAAGAAGGAGAUGCCCAUUUAUGACCUGUGAAGUGAAGGCUAUCCUAGGAGAGAUAGCUAGCCAAGAAAAGGUUGAAGAAUAUCCUACGGACAAGACAAGGACAAGGAUUUGUUUUGGUGCCACAAGGUCAACUGUAUAAAAAUGCACUUCCCUCUUAAUAAAGUGCAGGAUCGCAAAUGGGAAGGCAUGGACCCCAGUGAGAUAGGAAAAAGAAGGGGGUGUCCAGGGACUGGAGUAUGCUGGGGACAGGCAGGGUAGAUGUGAUACUGAUAACCAUGGACCUGAUAGGUGGUCAACCCACACACCCAGUAGUGGAUAGUAAGGAGCUAGCAGAUAAAAAUGAUUGGGACAGACAGGACCCCGACAGACAUAGGGACAAACAUAGGUAGAGCAGGCUAUUGUGGGGACUCAGACCUUGAGUGAAAAGGUGGUGGGGAAUCCUAUGGGUGAAGUAAAGGGGCUACAAGAGAAACUAGUAUCUGACGAGCAGGCCUUGAAAGAGCUGCAGAAGACAUACAGUUCCAGAGGGAAAAGUUGAGGAAUGCUAUGGCAGACCAUGAUAAUCUGUGUCUCCUGGUAGAUGGUUUGGAGCAGGAGUAGGAUGACUUGCAAGCCCAGCUCUGGCAACUCCAAGGGAGGAGGCAUCCGUAUCUCUGGGGGUUACAAGCUUGAGGAAGAGAGUAUGUGAUGGGGGGUCCACCCUACACAAGGCUUGAAGGGGUUAAGGUGGACAGGUGGGCCAAUUAACUGCUAGACAGCACCUGAAGGAGGAGCCAAGGAGAAAGGACUAAGGCGUAGCUGGACGGGAACAGGAGGGGCCUGUAUAAAGCCCAGUGGCUGAAAGAACUGGGGGCUGCAGAAAGUGAGGAUGCAGUCACUCUCUGACUGAGAGAAGAUUCCACUCCUGAUGACUAGCAAGCUGCAUUCUGUUCUUGGAGAAGGGUAAAAGGCUUUCUACUGGAAUCAUGACUGGAGAACUCUUCUAUCAAAGUAGCCAUAUGCUCUAAGGAGUAGUAAACAUGUGAUAAUGAAAGACAGGUUACUGGAAACACAAGACAGAAAAAGAAGCAAAAUAACAGAUGAAAAAAAGAGAGGGAAAUGUAAGAAAACUGGACCCACCUUGAAGAGACCUACUGCUCAAGACCAAAGAUUGGCGCCCCUUCAAAAGGCCUGCUUGGAACCUGACGAUGGUUUACUCGGGCCCUGGCCCUGCCUGGAAGAAUAUGUGGAAGAGUUGCUGAUACUGGAGAGAUUUGUUGGGACGUGCACCAGAACUGGAACCUGGACCAUUUCUGCAGCAGGACCUUCAGCAGAAGAGGAAACUGAGAAGAUGUAAAGGUCCUUUUCCCACAGGAGGAGGAACGCAUUGCCCAGAGAGAGCUGACCGAUCCCCACCCCGGAACAGUAUUACAGAUACUUCUUGUUCUGAUUCCCAGUGAUCUGGGAGUGGCCCUGCGAUCCUUGAAGGUGUGGAGGGAGGCAUCAGUCUUCUCAGCAAAGAGCUUGAAACCCUCAAAGGAGAAGUCCUCCACUGUGUUCUAAACCUCUUUCAGGAAUCCUGAGAGGUGAAGCCACAAUGCCAGUCUUAUCACCACAGCAAUGGAGGUGGUCCUGGCAGCCAUGUCAGCUGCAUCAAUGGCCGAUUGCAAAGAUAUUUUUGCUACCAGCUGCCAUUCCUGGAUGAUGACCUUGAAGGAGUCCCAAGAGCUCUCCAGCAGUUUAUCAAUAAAGUUGUGUAAUUUAUUAUAAUUCAUGUAGUCGUACUUUGCCAUGAGUGCCUAGUAGCUGGCAAUUCGGAACUGUAAGGUGGCUGAGGAGUACGCCUUCCUACCAAAGGGAUCAAGGCACUUCCAGUCUCUGUUAUAGGGUGUUGUCUUAGAGUGGUGCUGUCAGCCAUGGGAUUUCACAGCGUCCACCACGAUAGAAUUUAUGAAGAGCUGCCUCCAUAAAGAUGAUUUUCUGGCAAAGUUGUCUUUGUGGGAUCUUGGUCAGAGCUGCUGGCAGAGGGAGCAGUUUUGUUGGAUAUGGUCCUUGCCAAGAAAGAAAAGGUACUGGGAGUGCUUGUCCACAACCGGGAUCGCCUCGCUGAAAGUGCAAUACUUCUUGAAGUCCGGAGAGCUAGGCAUAUCCUUUUCCAGGUGGGUUCCCGCCAUUGGGGGUCAAAACAAGGACAAAGUCUUUUCUCUCUCUUUUAUUUUUUUUAAUAGGUACAGCCAAAUAAAAAGUCAGAAGAAAGCUAAAAGGUUUCUAAAAGCUAACUAUUAACAAAUGAAAAUGAAAAUUAACGAUAUGCUAACGGACAGCUAAAGGCCCUGUUUCUAUCCAGGGAGGUUAAGAAGGAACUGAGGGUGGUUAUCCCAUGUGCCUGGCUAGCCUCAUGGCGCAGCACAAGUAGAGACAGCACAUGAG